rnacentral:tRNA from 1 species
UCCCUGGUAGCCUAAUGGUUAGGGUUCUGGCUUUCACUGCCAGAACCCCAUGGGCCUGGGUUAAAUCCCUGGUUGGAGAA